GAUGAACGCUGGCGGCGUGCCUAAUACAUGCAAGUCGAGCGAACAGACGAGUAUCUUGCUCCUCGGACGUGAGCGGCUGACGGGUGAGUAACACGUGGGUAACCUACCUAUAAGAAUGGGAUAACUUCGGGAAAGCGGAGCGAAUACCGGAUAAUAUAUUGAACCGCAUGGGUCAAUAGUGGAAUGCGGUUUUGCUGUCAAUUAUAGAUGGAUCCGCGGCGCAUUAGCUAGUUGGUAAGGUAACGGCUUACCAAGGCAACGAUGCGUAGCCGACCUGAGAGCGUCAUCGCCCACCCUGGCACUGAGACACGGCCCAGACUCCUACGGGAGGCAGCAGUCGGGAAUCUUCCGCAAUGGGCGAAAGCCUGACGGAGCACCGCCGCGUGAGUGCUGAAGCUCUUCGGCUCCUAAAACUCUGUUAUUAGGGAAGAACAAAUGUGUAAGUAACUAUGCACGUCUUGACGGUACCUAAUCAGAAAGCCCCGGCUAACUACGUG
rnacentral:rRNA from 1 species